CAAUACGGUAUAAAAAUCUUUGCAAAAUGUUCAUUUCAUUGGCUUCAAGAGCUGCUGAUUUUGAAGACAGCUACUUGCUUGUGGAAGAGGCACUUCAUAACGUGAGUAAGCAGGUGGAAGAAAAAAUUAAAGGAACUCCUAACAUUGAUGCAGAAAAGUCUGGUGCUGAAUAAACAUUCAGCUUGCCAGACCAAUAUGCUCAUGUCGUUGGUCUAAAGAAGAAAGAAAAGCAAAAAGGUGGAUCAAAACAAAAGAAGAGUUGGAUUGACAAACUUACUAAGAAAAAGAAGAAGAAAUCAAACAAGAAAAAAAAGAGCAAGCAUGUGCGACAUGAAGAAUGUGGAAGUCCUAUACCUCAAUCACAAGCAUAUGAAUCAAUUCAUAGUUUUAAUGAAGUUUUAAUGAGUUCAAAUGUUGUUCAAGAUGUUAGCAAUCCUCACUUCUUGGAAGAGAUAGAUGGAUGACAGUUUUAGAAAAGCUUCAGUGCCGUGUCCUUGAGCCUGGGCUGCUAUGGUUGAUGCAAGUCUUUUGUAUAUGAAUUAGGCAAAGUGAACCUUAUUAUAUUCCUAGACUACCAUAUGCUCUUUUGGGUUAAGCAAAUGGUAUUGCCUCUUUUGUGAAUGCAAGUCUGCUACUAGUGAAGCAAGCUUUUGUAUAUCAAUAGCAAUAGAGAACCUUAGUACAUGUAAAAGGAUCUCAGCUUAACAUAUGCUCUUUUGGUGAUAUAAAUUUAAAGGGCAUUAAAUUCUCAAUUUUCAGUAAAAUACAGAUAAUAUUAUUGUAUUUAUUUUCAUUGUA